GACGAACGCUGGCGGCGUGCUUAACACAUGCAAGUCGAACGGAAAGGCCCUGCUUUUGUGGGGUGCUCGAGUGGCGAACGGGUGAGUAACACGUGAGUAACCUGCCCUUGACUUUGGGAUAACUUCAGGAAACUGGGGCUAAUACCGGAUAGGAGCUCCUGCUGCAUGGUGGGGGUUGGAAAGUUUCGGCGGUUGGGGAUGGACUCGCGGCUUAUCAGCUUGUUGGUGGGGUAGUGGCUUACCAAGGCUUUGACGGGUAGCCGGCCUGAGAGGGUGACCGGCCAGAUGGGGAGGAUGGUGCGACCGGGGCGGCUGCGGGAGGCAGCAGCGGGGGAUGGUGCACGAUGGGCGGCGGGCUGAAUACGGAUGGCCGCGGGGGGGAGGAGGGAGUUCGGGAAGGAAGACACGAUCCCCGGGCACACAGCGUGAGAGAAGCUGAUGUGUAAGAUAGCACCGGCUCACUAGGUG
rnacentral:rRNA from 1 species